GGCCCGAUGACAUCACUGUGUGAAGAGAAAACACAGCUUCCAGGCACAGAUUAACUUUCCAUCUGCCAUUUCUGUAACAUGCAGCAAGCAGGGGGCCCCUGACCUCCUUGGUGACCUGGAGGGAGCACUCCGAGGCACCGCCAGGAAGGGCCUCCGUCCCCAGGCCAGCGCCGGCAGGCUGUUCAGUCCUUGGAAACAACCAGGGCCCAUGGACGACGCUCUCUGGACCAGGGAAAGCUGCGCAGUGGGCCGGCAGGGCUUCCCCGUGGUCACGUCUGUCCGCGUGGAAGCAGCUGGGGCGUCAGCAUCUCUGUGCAGACUCACACGCCGGGGGAGGGGGCAGGCGUGCACAGAUCCAGCCCUGCAUCACGCUAGGCACCGUCCCACCCAGGGCCAACGCUUCACCCCACUCUCCCCAGAAAGAGACGGCUUUCCACGCUGGGAGGGGUUUGGUCAGAGCAGGUGAACCCCACGCAGGGCCUCUGCAGAGAGACUCCCACCUGCCCUGGACAGCCGCCCACACGGAGCCCCAGAUGUCCAUCCUCUUCACUCACGGGGGGUACCAGGUCGGUGAGGAAGCCCUGACCCGAGCGGGAGCAUCAGCAGCACCACUGCACGUGGCCCGCAUGUGGCCCAGUAAUUAAACUUCUCCAUCGACGCCACACUUGGGUGCAGAAUGGCCUAGCUGCCCUUCCGGAAGGGGGCUGCCAGCGUGUGUGCGGGGAGAGCCAGCACGGAGCGUGUGCCACUGUGAUCCCUCUUCCCCACAUGUCCGUCGUGGUGCUGGUGGAGGCGGCCCACGGUGACAAGAAGAUGCCAUUCCAAAAGCCUCACGGCUACUCAGAGUGGAGAGGGCUCUUAGCCUGGGUGAUGACACAAGUCACCCCCCGUCAGGCUGCAGAGAAAGAGGGCAGAGGCUCCCCUGCACGCCCCAUGCAGCCUGUCAGAGCCUGUGGGGUUGGAGACUGACGCCUAGAGAGGUUGAGGGGCUCACCCGGGGUCACACAGUAGAAAUUUCCAAGCCCCGCCUCUGACCGGUUCCGGGACCCAAGGGGACCGCCUUGCUCUCCGGUGUGUGGCAGAUACUGCACAGGGCCUGCCCACGGGAGCCACAGGAGACCGUCCAGGCCCAGACCUGGUCUCUUCCCCCAGACAUGCUGGCACUCCAGGCACGGACGGCUCCCCAAGGGCACCUGCCCGGCUACCCAGGGACCCCACAAAGGCAAAGCUAUCUCCCCACCAGACCCGGCUGUCAUUCUCAACUGCUGCUGUCCAAGGGGCAGCACCUUCAUUGAGCCUGUGAGCCUGGGCCACGAGGAGGAGCUGAGCAGCAACUGGGCUGAGGCCCAGAACCCUCCGGGCAGGAGCGAGCUGCCCCUGCCGACUCCCACGGCGCCAUCACAGCCAGGGACACGGCCUCCGUGCUGCCAGCAGUGACCGCCCAUGCUCCUGAGGCUCGAGGGACACCUUCUAGAGCUAGUGUCCUCUCUGAGGAAGGGGGUGGGAGCAGGUGCUGGCCGAAGCAGGGCUCAGGCAUGUGGCCUCAGGCACCAGCAAGCCUGGGUUCGAAUCCCUGCUCCGCCACUCACACGCCAUGUGACCUGGGGCAAGCUGCUCUACCUCUGUGCUUCACUUCCCCCUCUGGGCUGGCACACACUACGGGUUCAAUAAAUGUCCACCGAGUGGACA
rnacentral:lncRNA from 12 species